AUGGUCGUUUUAUUCCAACCAGACCUUUUUAACCCGACGAAUGGGGAAGCUUUCUUUUGUGUCACCCACAGUGUGUCGACUUUCACCUGUCCCAGUGAGAGCAUUCACCUGUCCCAGUGGGAGCAUUCACCUGUCCCAGUGAGGGAAUUCACCUGUCCUAAUUCACCUGUCCCAGUGAGAGCAUUCACCUGUCCCAGUGAGAGCAUUCACCUGUUCCAAUUCACCUGUCCCAGUGAGAGCAUUCACCUGUCCCGGUGGGAGAAUUCACCUGUGCCAGUGAGCGAAUUCAGCCAAGCCAUCGAGGACCGUUGGGAAAGUGGUUUUAGUUGUAUAGAUUUCUUUAAACAACCAGCACUGUCGCUCUACUUCUCUUCUAUGGGUAUUUAUGAAAGUUUCUGUAAAUACUGUACAUUAAAACAUCAGUAUUAUUUGAAGAAGCUGAGGAUACUUCCAAAAAACAUCAAGCUAAUUAAAAACCUAUUAUUCUAA
ensembl:lncRNA